rnacentral:rRNA from 1 species
AUGCACGCUGGCGGCGUGCCUAAUCCAUGCAAGUCGCGCGAACAGACGAGGGGCUUGCUCCUCUGACGUUAGCGGCGGACGGGUGAGUAACACGUGGAUAACCUACCUAUAAGACUGGGAUAACUUCGGGAAACCGGAGCUAAUACCGGAUAAUAUAUUGAACCGCAUGGUUCAAUAGUGAAAGACGGUUUUGCUGUCACUUAUAGAUGGAUCCGCGCCGCAUUAGCUAGUUGGUAAGGUAACGGCUUACCAAGGCGACGAUGCGUAGCCGACCUGAGAGGGUGAUCGGCCACACUGGAACUGAGACACGGUCCAGACUCCUACGGGAGGCAGCAGUAGGGAAUCUUCCGCAAUGGGCGAAAGCUUGACGGAGCAACGCCGCGUGAGUGAUGAAGGUCUUCGGAUCGUAAAACUCUGUUAUUAGGGAAGAACAAAUGUGUAAGUAACUAUGCACGUCUUGACGGUACCUAAUCAGAAAGCCACGGCUAACUACGUG